AUUGAACGCUGGCGGCAUGCCUUACACAUGCAAGUCGAACGGCAGCACGGGGCAACCUGGUGGCGAGUGGCGAACGGGUGAGUAAUGCAUCGGAACGUACCUUUCAGUGGGGGAUAACGUAGCGAAAGUUACGCUAAUACCGCAUAUUCUGUGAGCAGGAAAGCAGGGGAUCGCAAGACCUUGCGCUGAUUGAGCGGCCGAUGUCAGAUUAGCUAGUUGGUGAGGUAAAGGCUCACCAAGGCGACGAUCUGUAGCGGGUCUGAGAGGAUGAUUCGCCACACUGGAACUGAGACACGGUCCAGACUCCUACGGGAGGCAGCAGUGGGGAAUUUUGGACAAUGGGGGCAACCCUUAUCCAGCCAUGCCGCGUGAGUGAAGAAGGCCUUCGGGUUGUAAAGCUCUUUCGGCCGGGAAGAAAUCGCACGGGCUAAUACCCUGUGUGGAUGACGGUACCGGAAUAAGAAGCACCGGCUAACUACGUGCCAGCAGCCGCCGUAAUAC
rnacentral:rRNA from 1 species